UUUAAAAAUAGAAAACUACUAGUUAAUGUUCUUAAUCAGCAAAUUGAUUAAGAACAUUAACUAGUAGUUUUCUAAUUUAGUCUCUUGAUCUCUAUGAAUCAUUUUGAUGAUUAUAUAGCCUAUAGCCAAUACAACCCCAAAAUUCAGUGUAUCACAAAAUGUAAACAAAAAUUGUCAAAAGGUUUAAAAAUAGAAAACUACUAGUUAAUGUUCUUAAUCAGCAAAUUAAGUACAAAAACUUCCUUUGCCUUUAUUUAGUCUCUUGAUCUCUAUGAAUCAUUUUGAUGAUUAUAUAGCCUAUAGCCAAUACAACCCCAAAAUUCAGUGUAUCACAAAAUGUAAACAAAAAUUGUCAAAAGGUUUAAAAAUAGAAAACUACUAGUUAAUGUUCUUAAUCAGCAAAUUACGUACAAAAACUUCCUUUGUCUCUUGAUCUCUGAAUCAUUUUGAUGAGGACGACGUGGCGAAGUUGGUAGAGUGGCCGUGCCAGCAAUCGGAGGGUUGCUGGUUACUGGGGUUCAAUCCCCACUUUCUACCAUCCUAGUCACGUCCGUUGUGUCCUUGGGCAAGACACUUCACCCUUGCUCCUGAUGGCUGCUGGUUAGCGCCUUGCAUGGCAGCUCCCGCCGUCUGUGUGUGAAUGGGUGAAUGUGGAAAUACUGUCAAAGCGCUUUGAGUACCUUGAAGGUAGAAAAGUGCUAUACAAGUACAACCCAUUUAUUAUUUAUUAUUAUAUAGCCUAUAGCCAAUACAACCCCAAAAUUCAGUGUAUCACAAAAUGUAAACAAAAAUUGUCAAAAGGUUUAAAAAUAGAAAACUACUAGUUAAUGUUCUUAAUCAGCAAAUUAAGUACAAAAACUUCCUUUGCCUUUAUUUAGUCUCUUGAUCUCUCCUAAAAUCUAUUCAUAUUUGCCCAAUAUUUUAAUUUAUUGAGGACCGGCUUCCUCCCACCUCCAAAGACAUGCACCUGGGGAUAGGUUGAUUGGCAACACUAAAUUGGCCCUAGUGUGUGAAUGUGAGUGUGAAUGUUGUCUGUCUAUCUGUGUUGGCCCUGCGACAAGGUGGCGACUUGUCCAGGGUGUACCCCGCCUUCUGCCCGAUUGUAGCUGAGAUAGGCUCCAGCGCCCCCCGCAACCCGAAGGGAAUAAGUCGUAGAAAAUGGAUGGAUGGAUGGAGGUGGACCUGUACAGUAUGGGAGGGAGAAAGUGUAAGUCAUAGUUUUCUCAAGUCAUCAUUAAAGGUGCCAUAUAUAAUAAUUUCAUGUCAAGUCAUUAAAUGGCCCUGAUAUGUCAAAAGGCAUUAAUAUAUCAUGUUCUUUUCGAAUACCUCUAUAACUGAUAAAAGUAGUUCCGCCGGGAUAUGCUCAUUUCAAAAUGAGAUAUUUACAGCCCUGAAAUCUUGUUAUUGUUUUUAUUUCGAUGUCCCGCCCUCCACCCUUUGACCAAUUAGAAAGUCUGUGAGUGUGUCAAAUCCAGGUUGCCAGUUACAUAGCGCCCUCUUCGUCUGGCUACUGCCACCGAGCCAGGAACAAAAUGAGGAUGUGUAUCGGGGAUGCCUUUGAAAGAUGGAGACGAUUGAAGGCAAAGAUUCUUUCAUCUGACGCCAAACAUUGCUAAUUUCCUUCUUGAUAGAGCAACUUGGAUUAAAACAAGUGACCGUCAGCUGGCCUGACUUUAGAGACCUUUGCCUUUUGGGGGAACCGGAGCGAUCCAAAUGACCUAGUGUACCGUCUGGCACCUGGUUGGUCUUAGGAGCGCCACACCCAAACUUAUUGAGUCAUAAGUCAUAAGAGCAGCACUCGGGUGAGGCCGUUCACGCCCAACUACAAGUUUACACAAAGGUCUGCUGCGGUCUCAGUCAAAACCACAUUGAUGGACGAUGUUGCCCUUCUCCAGUCAUGAGGUCAAGAAAAUCCACACCCAGGACCUUGACCUGUGCUCCUUGAUGUCUGCUGUCACCUUGUGGCUGGACUAGCUUACAGCAUCUUUCU